rnacentral:lncRNA from 1 species
AAUGAUUAGUAAUAUGAUUCCUUGGAUUUACCAAUAGUAAAAAAACCCAAAUGUUGGGAAACCCUAGAUAUUUUAAAGAUUUAGCUCAAGAAGACUCACAAAUGUAUUACAAACAAGAAUAACACAACAGGUACAGACAUAAUUAAUAUUCAAGCAUGGAUCAUUUAAAAAUAUCCACCAUUAUAGUUGUUAUUUUUACGCUUACAAUUACUUCUACUGAUACAAAAGCUGUGCAAGGUAGAGGGGAUUAUCUCAAACAGUUGGACCCUACGGCAGGUGUGAUUUGGAGGAAGACUAAGAAGAAUACUUUAAAGUGCAAAAGAUUGGUUCAUCAUCCAUACCUUCACAAAUAUAUUUGUGCAAACUAUGAUUUUGCUUAAAUUCUAUAAAAUUGUAUUUUAUCCACAGUAGUCAUAUGUUCAAUAAAGUUUAUUAAAAAUCAAA